rnacentral:rRNA from 1 species
CAGGAUUGCCUUAGUAACGGCGAGUGAAGCGGCAACAGCUCAAAUUUGAAAGCUGGCCUUCGGGUCCGCAUUGUAAUUUGUAGAGGAUGCUUUGGGUGAAACGCCAGUCUAAGUUCCUUGGAACAGGACGUCAUAGAGGGUGAGAAUCCCGUAUGUGACUGGAAAUGUUAACCUAUGUAAAGCUCCUUCGACGAGUCGAGUUGUUUGGGAAUGCAGCUCUAAAUGGGAGGUAAAUUUCUUCUAAAGCUAAAUAUUGGCGAGAGACCGAUAGCGCACAAGUUAGAGUGAUCGAAAGAUGAAAAGCACUUUGGAAAGAGAGUUAAAAAGCACGUGAAAUUGUUGAAAGGGAAGCGCUUGCAAUCAGACUUGUUUAAACUGUUCGGCCGGUCUUCUGACCGGUUUACUCAGUUUGGACAGGCCAGCAUCAGUUUCGGCGGCCGGAUAAAGGCUCUGGGAAUGUGGCCUUCACUUCGUAAGUGUUUACCCCAGUG